AUACUUACCUGGCACAGGAGAUACCGUGAUCACGAAGGCGGUUCUCCUAAGGCGAGGCUCAUCAUUGCACCCCGGGUUGCCCGCUGACCUUGCGAUUAACCCAAAUGUGGUUAACUCGAGUGCGAAAUUUUUUUGUAAGCGGGGGACUCCGUUCGCGCUAUCCCCCU